UACGUAGGUGGCGAGCGUUGUCCGGAUUUAUUGGGCGUAAAGAGCCCGCAGGCGGUUCAGCAAGUUUCAGGUGAAAUCUCCCGGCUCAACUGGGAGGGUGCCUGGAAAACUGCUGGACUUGAGGCAGGGAGAGGGAUGUGGAAUUCCCGGUGUAGUGGUGAAAUGCGUAGAUAUCGGGAGGAACACCAGUGGCGAAGGCGGCAUCCUGGCCCUGUCCUGACGCUCAGGGGCGAAAGCGUGGGGAGCAAACCGGAUUAGAUACCCGGGUAGUCCACGCCGUAAACGAUGAGUACUAGGGGUAGGGGGUAUCGACCCCCUCUGUCCCGAAGCCAACGCGAUAAGUACUCCGCCUGGGGACUACGGCCGCAAGGCUAAA
rnacentral:rRNA from 1 species